GACGAACGCUGGCGGCGUGCUUAACACAUGCAAGUCGAACGGAGAGGCCCUGCUUUUGUGGGGUGCUCGAGUGGCGAACGGGUGAGUAACACGUGAGUAACCUGCCCUUGACUUUGGGAUAACUUCAGGAAACUGGGGCUAAUACCGGAUAGGAGCUCCUGCUGCAUGGUGGGGGUUGGAAAGUUUCGGCGGUUGGGGAUGGACUCGCGGCUUAUCAGCUUGUUGGUGGGGUAGUGGCUUACCAAGGCUUUGACGGGUAGCCGGCCUGAGAGGGUGACCGGCCACAUUGGGACUGAGAUACGGCCCAGACUCCUACGGGAGGCAGCAGUGGGGAAUAUUGCACAAUGGGCGGAAGCCUGAUGCAGCAACGCCGCGUGCGGGAUGACGGCCUUCGGGUUGUAAACCGCUUUCGCCUGUGACGAAGCGUGAGUGACGGUAAUGGGUAAAGAAGCACCGGGUAACUACGUG
rnacentral:rRNA from 1 species